rnacentral:rRNA from 1 species
UUGGAGGGCAAGUCUGGUGCCAGCAGCCGCGGUAAUUCCAGCUCCAAUAGCGUAUAUUAAAGUUGCUGCAGUUAAAAAGCUCGUAGUUGAAUUUCGGGAUCAUCAUGUCGGUCGUGCCUCGGUACGUACUGGCAUCGUUGGUUUCUCCCUUCUGACGAACCACGAUGUCAUUUAUUUGGUGUUGUGGGGAAUCAGGA